rnacentral:rRNA from 1 species
CAGCAGCCGCGGGAAUACGAAGGGUGCAAGCGUUACUCGGAAUUACUGGGCGUAAAGCGUGCGCAGGCGGUCUGUUAAGACAGAUGUGAAAUCCCCGGGCUUAACCUGGGAACUGCAUUUGUGACUGGCCGGCUAGAGUACGGCAGAGGGAGGUGGAAUUCCACGUGUAGCAGUGAAAUGCGUAGAUAUGUGGAGGAACACCGAUGGCGAAGGCAGCCUCCUGGGCCAAUACUGACGCUCAUGCACGAAAGCGUAGGGAGCAAACAGGAUUAGAUACCCGUGUAGUCCCUGUCUCUUAUAC